rnacentral:tRNA from 1 species
AUUAAGUUAGUUUACAAAAAACCUCAGGAUGUGGGCCUGACAACGGAAAAUACUU